UCUUCUGCCUCUCCAUAAUAAAAUCUCCCUCCCUCCUCUCUUCUCUCUCUCUCCUUCUCUGCGCUCGUGUAAUUCUCUUCAGCUGGGAUGCAAGGUGAUUUCCUUCCUCUGUUUUCUUCUCCGCCUCUGUUUCGUUGCCAAGAUUCCUCUCAGCGUCGUAUGCUCUCUGCCAUGGCCCCAUCCCAUGGCGGCAAUUCUUCUCUUGUUUUGCUCGUUUCGCUGUGCAGCUACGUAUUAUUAUUAGGCUAUAGGCAUGCAUGUACGCUGGGUUUUGAGGGCGUGUUGUUGAUUCCGACUGCUGAUUCGAGGGUUUUGAGGUUUCUGCCAUUGAUGCCCUCGGCUAAGCAGUUGCUGUUCGGUUCACUCAGAUCUGUACUCCUGUCCUUUCCUGUUUGUUGUGUACCACCCACGGCUCAUGUUGCUGGUCACCGAAUGCUGCAUGAAUUCAGUGGGGUCUGAGGCCCGUCCUGCUGGAGCUCUCGACUGCUCUUCGAUCGGGUUUUGGUCUGCUCUCCUGAUACUGUUCGCGUUUUCUCUCAGACCAGGUUUUGGCCACUGGAAUCUCUCUCUGCGUCUCCGACGAAGGUGUGCGAGACAAUGAUCUGAGGCAUAAAGAUUCUUCUGAAACCUAAAUCAUCACUACCUCUUUUUUUUUUCAAAACCAAAGAGAAGAAUCUUUAUACCUUCUCCAUUUCCUGCAAGCGUCAGCAUGCAUAUUUUAACUAGUAAACUUUGUCCAUGGCAUGUGUCGGUAGGUAGCCCAAUUCAGUGCUCUGCUCCUGUUUCCAAAUAGGCUGCUUCAUAUUUUUUUUUCACACUUCCAAAGAUUUUUAGGGGGAACAAGUGCUACGUAGAAUACUACUCUACUCUAGAUUUUUCUUUUGAGACAUUGAAAUUUAACAUGAUUCUUCUUUUUUUUGGUCCUGCAAUCAGCAUAUUUUUUUGCAUGAUCUGUACAAGCAUCCCCAUGUAAGACGAUUUCAUAGUUUUCGGGGAUGCCAACAAGUUUUGGCUCAAGUGAACCGAUUCUCAUGGCCCUGGUGUUAUUUUGCGCGGCUAUUGGAGUCAGCUGUAUCGUCGAGUCAACUGAAUCGCUCUUCCUAUUGUCUUAGAAAAUUUGCUCAAAG
rnacentral:lncRNA from 1 species